rnacentral:lncRNA from 1 species
ACGAACACGACACGACACGACACGAGAAGGGUAAUUUGCUUUAUGCGAUUGUUCAAGGUACUACUACAAUUUUUUACUAUUUUUUAGCAAGUUUUUCUUUAGUUGAAGAAAUGAAUUAUUAGUGUAUUGGAGAUAAAAUGCAUAUUUAGGGGGUUUUUUUCUUUUCUUCUUGUCUUUGUUUUAACAAACUUGAUUUCUUUGUUAGUGAGUUUAUCGGCUUCUAUUGCAAUUUGCACUUGAAAACCUAAGACAGAAAUGGAUAGGGAUUAUAAGAAAGUAGAAUCGAACAACAAAAGAUCUAGAAACCAGAGAGAUGAUGCUGAUUUAAUAGCUAAAAAAAACCUUACUAAUCCACAAGGAUAUAUCAGAAAAGAUUAAGAAGAUUCCAUUGUUCAACAAGCAAGGUUUCCAACUCAACUCAACUCAACUGACUGGCUCGCAUACAUAUAAAGACGUAUAUAAAGAUGGCAUUUGAACCCCAUCCCGUGAUCUCCUUUAACCGUGCAAAUUCCGUUGGGAGUAGGUAAUUUGAGGCUUUGGUGGAAGGUGGACACGAUUGUUUUCAUCUGAUGGAUCCAGUCCCUCCCCAGAAUGACAUUGUAGCAGGAGGGGAAGUUGACCAGCAGGAAGUCUAUUUCGACAGUAUUGAAUCCCACCGUGAUUGGCAGGUAGACUCUCCGGAGGACUGUGCUGGCUCCCCGAUGAACCCAUAGAUAGGAGUCUCGUUAGAUUCGAUGAGACCCUUAGAUAACUCCAUAGGUUUGUAAGCGCAUGAGAUCUGAUAGAUGGUAAUUUAUUACUACCUAUUCAAAAGAUUGUAUUUUUAUUGAAGUUCUUUCUUGUGUCUGUAUAUAUUGAUUAUCAAAGUAGACAUGUAACAAGUAAGGUUUAUACCCACCUCAAAAGUGAAGAUCUUAACUCAAGCACAAUAGAAAGCAAUAAUUAAAGAACACCAAGGGAAUCAACAAUAAAUAUUUUGAUUGAUUCUACUUCCUACAGGAAAUAGUAAAUAAACUGUAAAUAACCUAACUAAAGAAGCUGGUAGAGAUUUAAAGAAGAUCUUAUGAUGACAUAGGGGGAAGAGUUGGUAUCCACAAACUAAAUCAUACAAACAUAUCAUGUUAUUCCUUCAUGUUCAAUCUAUAACAAUUAAUUAGUCAUCUCUCAGUUAUUCCAAUUAAUCAUCAAUACCUAUAAUGAUCAAGUAGUCACCUCUCAGCUAUUCCACUCAAUUAAAACGUGAUUCUCUUAUGCAUGCUAUUUAAUAUGUCUUAUUAAUUAAACCGUCACCUCUCAGCUAUUCAAUCUAAUUAAUUCAACAUAUUAAUUCAUAACUAAACUGUCACCUCUCGGAUAUCAAUUAAAUUACAAAAAAUUUCCAAUAAAAAAUAUAAAUUGCAGAUAUGUAAUAAUCACUUCUCAACUAUUUUACCACAUAAUUACAAUUAAUAUAAACACAACCAUUAAAGCUAGGUCUCCCUAAACCCUAACAAUAGUAUUUUAACAACAUAGAUAACAAUAACAUGCAAAUAAUCAUACUUACCUCAUAAGCAUUAAGUACUUUGAAUAACAAUGAACAUUAAGAACAAACAUUGUGCUUUUGCAUCAUCUGGAGUGCUUCAACCAUCCCCCUAACGAGAUUUAGCUACUCAUCCUUGACACCAUCGAAUAAAUAAUUAAAUAACAAAGCAUCAUAAUGGAAAAUUAAUGAAUUGAUAUUGAUAAGAAUUGAGUUUAAUACAAAAGAAGAAGAAGAUGAACUUUUCUCUCUCAAAUAUUCACUUUUCUCACUAUGUAAAAACUACCUAAACCCUAGCUACUACUUCUCUUAUAUAGUAAAUACAAAGCAUAAUACUUACAUGCAAAAACUUCCAAAUUAGGUCAAAUUCGUGGCUGCAGCUGUUGGUCUUAUAGAGGCAUUAGGUCUUCAGCAAAACCUAAUUCUCUUGGGCUUAAGUUGUAUCUUGGACCAAGACCUUGAAUUGGACAACUCAUGGGCCCAAAUCACACUUCUGGAUCUCCUUGAAGAGUUUUUUUAAGAUUGGACUUUAAAUAAAGCCUAAAAUAGAAAUUCUGACUUGUGGGCUUCAAUAACACCCGGUUUGGGGUGAGAUUUGAACCGCCCCACUUUGACAUAAAUUCAAGUCAACAGGACCAGCCGUGGGGUGCCCUCAGCAGAUCUGUGGGUGCAAAUAUCAAUUCUUCUUCUCUUGUGCAAAUAACACUUUUUUGUUUGUUUUUCUUGACUUUUGGUGGGCUUUAACACAAUAUUCGCAUUUCGGUUCAUUAAACCUACACAAAUGACAGAAAACACUAAUCAAUAGAUAUAACACAAUAAUAUAAACUAAGUGCUAAACAAACAAGGUGUUAUUCGGGGGAUAAAUAUACACUUUUAAGGACUUAUCAAAUUCCCCCAAACAACACUUUGUUUGUCCUCAAGCAAAGGUGAGAAGAAAAGAAUUAAGAACUCAAAAGAGAAGUAAAACUAGAGUGAUUGCAUUAACCAUAUGCAUCAAGGAUUUUAACCACAAGGAUUUCCCAGGUGGAGGAGUUAUAGUUUCCUGAGGGUUUUCCAGAGAAGAUAACCACAAACUUACUACAAUAACUAAUCCAAAUAACAGGAUUUUCCACCAUUUACCUUAGAAAUUGUCAUAUCAAAGAUAAGGAUAAGUAUUGCAAAACCGUUCAUAUGAGAUGGCAUACUAUAAAUGCAUGAAUAAGAUAUGAAAUAUAAACCUAGCAUACCAGUCUCAAAUGCAUCGAAGAGAGGCAUGUACCCAUACUACCACGGGUCUUGAGUCACCUUUGAAAAUGUUGUUUUGACUUCUACCUCACAGACAUACACUAAGAUAUAAAAAUCACUCAGAGAUGGUGUUUAUCAUUUUACCUCUAUGUGAGGAAAGAAGAUGGACAAUCAUCCCACAUAUAUCAAUAAGAACAGAUUGGUGUAAUGGAAUGAACUUAAUCUCAAAGAAUGGAAAAAUUAGCCUUACUUGAGAUGUCGGGUUUUUCACCUUAGCACCUUCUCACUUACUCGCCACAUUCUACCAUAUCAGCUUAGAUCUACAAAAGACAAUAAUGGGUUGUAACUUUGUAACACCCAUGAGUUGAUAUUAGUCCCACAUUGCCAAGGAAGUGGUUGUAUUGGUAGUAUAUAGAGUUUAACCAUACUCUAACUAAUGUCAAGGCCUUUUGGGGUAAACCAUAUGAGUGAGCCCUGAUCCAAAACCCCUCUACUGCUGGAUAUCCGUCGUGACUAAAGGGGGACAAUAUUGACAUUAGCGAGUGGUAUGGUGCUCGACGCACCGGGAUGAGCGAGGACGAAAUCCUGGGGCGUUACAGUUGGUAUCAGAGCCGACGACGGGUCGCCUGUUGCAGGUGGGAAGUACGCUGGAAAGGCCCAGGGAGUGCCAGGUACUUGUCUCACUUGGCAGGGAACGUCGGAGAUUUUGGGAUUGUACUGAGUGUACUGCAGAGCCGAGGAUGGCUCUAUUUCUAAGGUAGUGAGAUUGUAACACCCAUGAGUUGGUGUUAGUCCCACAUUUCCAAAGAAGUGGUUCUUUCGGUAGUAUAUAGAGCUUAACCAUACUCUAACUAAUGUCAAGGCCUUUUGGGGUAAACUACAUGGAUGGACCCUGAUCCAAAACCCUCUACUGCUGGAUAUCUGCAGUGACUAAAGAGGGACAAUAUUGACAUUAGCGAGCGGUAUGGUGCUCAACGCACCGGGAUGAGCGAGGACGAAAUCCUGGGGCGUUACAAACUUGGCUUAGGACAGGGCUAGAAAUGGAAAAAGAUUUUGUGAAACAUUUUUGGAACAUUCAGGUCUUCAAUACUUGUGAUUUGUAAUAACAACACAUGGAGAAAUUUUUGGAAUUUUCUUUUGGGAAUAAGUGUUUUUCAUCUUCUUUGGGAAAUUUUCAAUGAAGCUCUAGCCAAAUAUUUUGGAAUCUUCCAUUCUUUUUGGAAUUGAAAUGGUUUUGGAAGAUCUGGUUUUUUCUGGAAUUCUUCAAACUUUCUGGUUUUCAACAUUUGGUUUAUCUCACUAGUUUGGAGAUUUCUUUGUAUUUCUCUUUUUUUCUUAUAACCAAAUAAACAAUCAUCCUCAUGUUCCAAAAACAAUGGGUAAAAGGACCUAAGCAUUCUAAGGGUAUUUACUCCCACAAUGGAGUUUGGGUAAGGAUAAUGGGCUCAAGAAAAGGCUAAAUACUCAAGGAAAGGCUCAUAAUGGUCAACCUAAUGGAUAAAGUAUCAUCAGGGUAGGCUAAGGUAAACAAGGUUUAACUAAAUGUCUUUGUAUCAUUUCUAAGUACUGAUAUGGUGAUCACAUCUUGAAUAAGCUACAAGACCCAAGCCACUUGAUGUCAUCUCAAGGCUAACUAUAAAAAUGAAUAUGAGACUAAGAACAAACAAAACUGAGAGGUUGAGUCUUUUGACUCUAGAUAUACGUAAUAACUCUCCAAGAAAAUGACGGGUCUCAAAAGCUCACUAGGUUAAGUCUCCACACUUAUUCAUCAAGUUUCUCAUGGUGUAGUUGUAUUUGCAAAUGUAAUUUUUAAUAAAUGCAAGUGAAUGCCAUGCUUAUACUCAUGCAUAUGUAGUAUAAUACUCAACUACUUGGUGAAGCAAUAAAUGUCCUUAAACUUGAAAAAGAUAGAAUUCAACCAUUACAGUCAAACCUGUCUAAAUGCACCCUGUAUAAAUUCACAACCUUCAUAAUCGCACAAAAAAUGUUGGUCUCAUAGUUGGGACAGUGUACUUUGAAGAUUUCCCUGCACACUGUGUAAUGUGCAAUAUUUUUUUGUCUCAACUAUGUAUUUUUCCCUUCAUAAUUGCACUAUAAGUAAGAAAAUAAGAUAAAAUUAUUGAUAACAUUCACUAAAAUGAAUACUAUAAGAGAGUCCAUGUCCAUUACAAAAACAAGAAUUAAACUUUCUUUUAAAAAUAGUUAAUUCCCAAAAUAAAUUCUUUACAACUACAAAAGCUAUUUCCAAGUAUCCAUACACUAUUCCAACAACAAAAAUGGUAUCCAUACACUCCCCCAUGUAUACACUUCUCCCAUGUCAUUGAAAUUCCCCAAUCUAAUUAAUACUCACCUUACAUAAUUAUGCACCUUUACUUUAUAAAUGCACCCCCUUUAUAAACGCAUAUUUUUUCUUGUCCCAAGGUCAUGCAUUUAGACAGGUUUGACUGUAUAUUCAUCAUUGAUGGUGUACUUAUCCUACUUUUGAAAAAGUCUUUGUAACAAAGAUUUUUUUGGAUUUUUUAAAAAUUUUGAAUUUUUACACAAGUAUGGAAAAAGAAAUUUGAAAAUCAUUUGCAAAAAGGAUUGUAAUACUUCCCCACCCCCAAACAAAGAGAUCCUACUUUUGGAAAAGUCUUUGUAACAAAGAUUUUUUUGGAUUUUUCAAAAUUUUUGAAUUUUUACACAAGUCUGGAAAAGGAAAUUUGAAAAUCAUUUGCAAAAAGGAUUGUAAUACUUCCCCACCCCCAAACAAAGAGAUUACCUUGUCCUCAAGGCUCAUACUAAGCAUAGGAAAGAGAGAUAGAAAGAUAUUACCAUUAAUGUACUAAAAAUUCAAACCGCUUUAUAAUUCCUGCCAAAUAAAAUUAUCUCCACUUACAUAGAGAUUACGAGGAAUUCCAUAUUAAGACACAACUGAAAUAAAAUAUGCUGAAAUAAAGGACUGACUCAACAGAAAAGGGAAAUCCUACGACUUUACACAAUUGCUUCCCAAACUUGACUUUUAGGAAGACCAUCCAACCUAUCACGCCAAUCAACUAAUACCUCCCUAAUCACAUUCCAAGGAGCCUCACCAUGUUUCAUAAACUCAUCAUCUCUAUGCAAGAUAGGAUAAUCAAUAUACUCAGAAUCAGGCACCAAAGUGAAUAGGCGGCUUCUCCUAAUACAACGAUGAGUUGGAUCCAUAGGUAUAUAUAAGGCGAGUCCAAUCAUUGUACCUUCCCCUCCAAUCAGGAUAGCUUUUAAGGAUAAUAUUAUUACAGAUAGCAGUAGAGUAAACAAGCUUAUCCUGACCAAAGAGGAACACAUUCCGGAUACCGUCUAAAACUCAGGUGGAUAUGUCAAGAGCAUAAAAAUCAUUAAUAUUACCAUAUACUGCAUGCAUAGUAAUAUCAUUGACAUAAUCCAACCUUUAAGCACCUAACAAAUUCCGCAUAACCCAUAAAGCAGCCGUAGCAACAUUAGCAGGAAGACAAGUAGUAGAUGCAACAUUAGCCUAAUCCUCGGGAUGGAAGGAAAAAAUGCAAGGACCAAAGUGAUCAAGGUAAGUAUCCAAGAUUGCCACACCAUUGGCACGAACAUAAUUAUGAUGGGGCAAGAUAGGUCGUAAGAUAAGAUGAUUACCUAUGGCACGAGUGAUGGCAAAAACAUUAAAAACCACAGGGAAAUCAUGCAUAUGAACUUGGAAACCAUUAAAGGAAAGAGCAUCGGCAAAGGGUAACAUACGGUAAAAGUCUCUUACCAUAGAAGGGAAAUAAACAGCAGUAUGAUCAUAAAGAAAACAUUCCCAACCUUUGUCAAAAAUCCCAUCCCGAAAAGAAACUCCAUAAGGACUAUCCAUAAUUCCACUAGGCAUCCACAACUCAUUCUGAACAUCAGCCAUUGCAAAAAAAAAAAAGGAAAAACACCAAAAACCAACACGAAAAUUGAGAAAAUCCUCACAGAAACCAAAGCAAAAACUGCUGCCAGAUCCGAACUCGACUCAAGUUCAGUUAACCCUAUCAGGAACUCAACUCGAGAUUGAGCGAAUUCCAAAAAAUUAAAAAAGUUUUUCUGAUUUAUGAGUGACAGUCUCCUAACCUUGGUUUGGUAUUUAUAGGCAAGAAUAAAAAAGUUUGAGCCCAAUUAGGACACCAAAAAUUGCCUAAAACCUCAGGGUUUCCAAAAAUCAAACCCUAAUUUUUUUUUCUUUUAAAAUAUUUGGACUUAGGUCCCUAAGACCAGAAAAUUUUGAAAAUAACUCCAAAGUCCAGAUCUUUUGCAAUAAAUACCAAGAAUGAUUAAAAAUUUCAAAAGAAUGACACAAGUUUGGAAAAAUAAAAAUUUCAUCCAUUUCAUUAAUAUUUUGAAAUAAAGUACAAGGAAUGAAAUUUAAAUACAAGAGUGCAAAGACUAAAAUAAAACAAAAUGCAUAAAAUAAAAACUACAAUGGCUAAUAGCUCAAAACUCUCAACCACGUCGCCGACGAGGCUGCGCCUGGCCUUCGUCCAAACGACGUUUGAUAUCAUCUACUGCAUGCAUGAUCUCUCUCAUACCCCUCCAGAGAAGCUGGAACUGCUCCUCAUUGGUAUGGAUCUGCUAAAACGCCCGCUGAUCACCGGGCCUGUAGUGAACUAGUGCCUUCUCCAGAGGGUCCCAUAACCACUGUCGACAGGCAGACAGUCCAGGAUUGGAGACCUCGAGACGGACGAUCGAUUCCAGAGAAAGUGCAGAAGGAAGAGGCGCCUUCCAGUAGCGCAAAUUACUCAUCACUAUGCAAGGAAGAGGCACAGAUCGAAGUGGCUCGAGCAUUGGUUAUGGAUGGAACAGGCGGCGGAUCAUGUAGUAGCCAUGUAGGUCCUCAUGGAGAAGCCGCAGGAUGUGAAUACCCUCGGAAAACAGUUCGUUCGUCCUUGUCGUCCCAAGGACAUUGGUGGUCAGCCAGUGAGCCACCAAGCCCUGGUUGACUCGGAGCCAACCGAUCAAGAUAUGGCUACUAUACCGAUGAGUCACCCGUUCUGUAAAACCCCGUUUAUAUUGUAAAAUUUUGUUCUUUAAAUUUUAUUGGAUUAUGAAAUAUUGCAUGCAUGUCUUUAAGGGUUUAGAGUUAAUUUUCUAUUAAGUUGAAGGAUGAUAUAUUAAUUAUUAAAAAAAAAAGAUGAAAUUGGGUUGGGUAGCAAAUUCAUUUAUGGUCCUAAAAUAAAGUCCAUUAACUUCUCCAUAUUAUUUAUAUUAAAAUCUUAGGGUUUUCAUUCAUUUUUUUACAACACCAUAUUUGGGAGAAGAAGAAAAAGAAUUAGAAGAAAACAAGAAGAAGAUUUGGAUUUUUAUGCUUAUAUAAGUGAGUAGACGUUUACCUUUUCUAUUUUCUUUGGUUUUGAAUUUUUUUCUACUUGUGUUUGAAAAAUCAUAGAAAAUUCGUAUGAAAAUAUUUUUUUUUUUUAUUUUAAAAACCCUAGAAACUAGAUUGAAAGGACUUCAAUUGAUUAGUUAUGACCAAUUGAAAAAAAAUGAUAGUAACUUGGUGAAAAAGAGCUUAGGAAUCUGACAAUCGUUGCAGUUUUUGCCUUCCUGUACAGUUUUAGUGUCGUAAUAUUUUGGUUACUUUAGAAUUACGAACUUUAACUGAAAAUUUUAUGGUGGUUAUAAUACAUAAUAAAGAAGUGUUAGAGAAUAAAAUUAAAAUAAUAUUACCUCAGGUAGUUGCAAUCAAAAUGAACAAAGUGUAUAAAAUCAGUGGCUGAGUCGCGGACUAGGUCGCUCUCUUUAAGACGUUCUGCGGCUCUGCCUCCGUUGUGCAAGCAGAAUUAGUCACGCCGUCCCCAGGAUAAAACUGCCCAAAUUUUUUGAAUUCCUUUUGCACAAGGAAGAAAUUCGAUCUCACUUUCAACACUCUUUCUUGCUCAAGAAAACUAAGAGAAAACCAUUUUUGUUCUAUCUUUCUCUCUUCUCCACCACUCUUUUUAUAACACAAAAACAGCUGUUAAUGGUGGAGGAAAUCUCUCCCCAAAUCAAGCCAUAACAGUAAAAAACGGCUAGGGUUGAAAUAAACACGUUUUAAUCAAUUUAAAUGCUAGGGGACAAAAAUCGAAAUUUGAAAAAAAAUAAAUAAAUUCAAGAGUACAAAGGCCCUAAGAUAAAUUCCUAUAUUCAUCAGCUUAAUUGUUUUGUUUUUGGCAUCCAACUAGAAAUUGGCGAUUUAGUUAGUACUUCUUAAGGCAAACAGACAUAGGAUUUACUCCUUUUGUGAGGAAAUAUCUUCUUGACCCAAAUAUCACAAGUGUUUGACACAAAUAUCAUAAGUUGCAACAUCUUUUUGGUUGGCAAGCGAGUAGUGGCAUAGCCAGGAUUUUCACUCAGGGGGAGCAACUGUAAUACCUUAAUUUUAUUUAGCAAUUUGUAUAAUAUAAUAAAAAAACGAACACAAAAAUACAUGCUAUCAAUAUAACACUUACAAGUAAAAUAGAGAUUCAAUCAUUUCCUAAAAUAAAAGAAAUAAGUGAGAAAUAGCCAAAUAAUAGUUACAAGCUUUUUUUUAUGACACCAGAAGAAGCGCAAAAAUAUGGAAUUGUUGAUGCUAUAGCGGACGUCUUCACCCCCCACCCGAUUCGGAUGACACUACUAACAACCUUCUCCCAUGGUCGUCCUUAAAUGACUUAACGUUGUUAAAUAUGUCGCGUCAAAAUCUUCACCCAGAUUAUUAUUUAAAUUAACUAAAUAAAUAAACAAAUUCAUUACUUUAUACAAAUUGAAAAAACAGCCGUUGAACUUGGAAAUUGCUCAUACCUUGACAAGAGAUUGAUAGAGGCCAGGAGUAAAGAGAAGAGUCCAAAAGAAUGUCCAAAAUGUAUACCUUUAUGUUUUGUUAUUGUUUAUUUGACUUUUCUAAUAGGUAGUUCUUGGACAAAAAUAGAUAGACAAUCCCUGUUAUAUAGGGAUUUCUUACUAAAACUAAUUAUUAAAGAGAAUUAACAUAGAAUUUUUAUUUUUAUGGUAACUGUAGUGUUAAAUAAAAUUGAGAUUACAUAUAUAGUAUAUAUAUUUUCCAAAAUAUUGAGGCACCCUCAACCCCCCCUGCUCCGCCACUCCAAGCGAGGUUGGAGGGAUCCCUACCCUUUUUCUAUUACGUGAAGAAAUUCUGUCAACAAUCAGCUGUUGAGGGGUUUCGAUCCCACGACCUCUCCUCAAAGUGACAGGGAUGUAUUACAUGCAAAAAAUGUUGUGGUAAGCCUAUAAGUUGCAACAUCAUCCAUUCCCAUAUGUUUUGGUUCAACUAGAUGAAUGUAAUUCUUCCACUCAUGUUCCAUUAGAACUUAGAAGUCUGAUGUGGGGUCAUAAUAAUUUCAUCUGAAAAGAACAAAAUCAUCAUUUUUUUUAUUUUGAUUGAUUUGAUUUGACAUGAAUCCUUAUGAUCUAGUAAUGGAUAAACAUACUAACACUGGGUGUAAAUUUUGAGUAGAGUAGGCAAACAUGAUUUUCUCAACAAAGUAGGCUUGCAUGUAGAUUACUAAUGGAUGUAGGCAUGUAGACCAUGGAAAAACGAGUAUUUGUAUAUAUAUAUAAUUUUUGAAUAAUCGAGUUAAAUGAUUCUGUUAUUUGUAUAUAUAUAGGAUCAGAAGUGAGCGAGCGAACGGCUGUCUUGUUCAGAAAUUGGAGCUAGGCAUGGAUGUGGUUAUUAAGUUUGGAAUAUUGUAAUUAUAGAAUAGAUUAGAAAAGAACAAUAUUGUAAUCCAGUUACUAGUAUUUAGUUUGGUUAAGAUCUAUGUUAUUAAUUACUUAGGGGAUGAUAGAUGUAUUUGACAUGUAUGUAUGAUGAUGUAUGCAAAAGUUUCAUGGACGGUUAAAAAUUUUGAGUUGGACCAAAGCUGAUUUAAUUAUAGAGAAGUUAAUGGUGAUGAUCUAUGUAGUACCCUGGUUUGUUUGUAGUUUGUACAUGAGG